CAAAAACUGGUAUACUCUUGACAGCACCGUUGGAUCGUCGACGCUUGAGAAAAGAUGCUAUCCCAUCGAAGUUGCCUGGCUGCCCAUCUUACUUGUCGAGUCAUCAAACUGCAGUACGAGAGGACCCAGAAAUUCGUAGGGGGCGUUUAGGAAAUCGUGCUCUUCGAGUUGCUAUCCAAGAAAGUGUGGACACACAUGCGAAAAUGAUUGAUGCAAUAUCGUUCGAUAGUUUAGAACAAAUGAGAACAAAGUUGAGUGAGUGUGAAAACCACAGUGACUGGGUAGUGAUAAACAAAUCUGACAGUGUGAGCAUAGUGUUACUAAAUCAUAGUCCUUACCCAAGAAUUUUUUGCCAAGUAGUUAUAAGCACUGGUUUAUUACUCAGUGUCUUCAAUAAUGAUAUUGAAGUGAAAUGUAUUGGAAACAUGAAAUUUCCCAAGAAAGUAAGUAACAUACAGGUGGUAAGUGACGUUCUUAAGAAGAUUUAUCUUCUGUAUAAUAGUUCUGAGGCUCCUGUGGAUAACAUUUUGUCUUUAAUUGACCAGUUACUGCAAAAUUUAUUAGAGAAGUUGCCAGGAAACGAAACUAAAAUUACAUUUUUGAAGGAACAGAUUUCAGUCUUGAAGUGCAGAAGUUCAACUCAAUUUAGGUAUGAUACUAACUCCAUGAUAAUGUGGUCAUUAGUACAUGCUUACAAAUUUUUGAGGAA